GAUGAACGCUAGCGGCAGGCCUAACACAUGCAAGUCGAGAGGUAGAGGAAGCUUGCUUCCUUGAGACCGGCGCACGGGUGCGUAACGCGUAUGCAAUCUACCUUUUACAGAGGGAUAGCCCAGAGAAAUUUGGAUUAAUACCUCAUAGUAUCUUUGCCUGGCAUCGGGUGAUUAUUAAAGUUCCAACGGUAAAAGAUGAGCAUGCGUCCUAUUAGCUAGAUGGUAAGGUAACGGCUUACCAUGGCAACGAUAGGUAGGGGUCCUGAGAGGGAGAUCCCCCACACUGGUACUGAGACACGGACCAGACUCCUACGGGAGGCAGCAGUGAGGAAUAUUGGACAAUGGGCGCAAGCCUGAUCCAGCCAUGCCGCGUGCAGGAAGACGGUCCUAUGGAUUGUAAACUGCUUUUGUACGGGAAGAAACACUCCCACGUGUAGGAGCUUGACGGUACCGUAAGAAUAAGGAUCGGCUAACUCCGUGCCAGCCGCCGCCGUAACAC
rnacentral:rRNA from 1 species